rnacentral:rRNA from 1 species
UACGUAGGGGGCAAGCGUUGUCCGGAAUCAUUGGGCGUAAAGCGCGUGUAGGCGGCCAGAAAAGUCCGCUGUGAAAACUCGAGGCUCAACCUCGAGACGUCGGCGGAAACCCUCUGGCUAGAGUCCGGAAGAGGAGAGUGGAAUUCCUGGUGUAGCGGUGAAAUGCGCAGAUAUCAGGAAGAACACCCGUGGCGAAGGCGGCUCUCUGGGACGGUACUGACGCUGAGACGCGAAAGCGUGGGGAGCAAACAGG